rnacentral:rRNA from 1 species
UGUUAAUAAUUUAUAUAUAAUAUUUUGAUGAAUAUUUAUAUAAUAUUAACAUAAUUCAUAUUACUAUAUUUUUUAGUAUAUGAAAUUUUACUUUGAGAAAAUUAGAGUGCUUAAAGCAGGCAUUAGCCUUGAAUACUCCAGCAUGGAAUAAUAUUAAAGAUUUUUAUCUUUCUUAUUGGUUCUAAGAUAAGAAUAAUGAUUAAUAGGGACAGUUGGGGGCAUUUGUAUUUAACAGUCAGAGGUGAAAUUCUUAGAUUUGUUAAAGACAAACUAAUGCGAAAGCAUUUGCCAAGGAUGUUUUCAUUAAUCAAGAACGAAAGUUAGGGGAUCGAAGACGAUCAGAUACCGUCGUAGUCUUAACCAUAAACUAUGCCAACUAGAGAUUGGAGGUUGUU